GAACGAACGCUGGCGGCGUGCCUAACACAUGCAAGUCGAGCGCGAAAAGAGCAAUCUGAGUAGAGCGGCGCACGGGUGCGUAACACGUGGGUAAUCUGCCUCAAGGUCUGGGAUAACCUUCCGAAAGGUUGGCUAAUACCAGUUAAGCUCACGGUGACUUCGGUCGCUGAGAGAAAAGGGGCCCGAAAGGGUCUCGCCAUGAGAUGAGCCCGCGGCCCAUCAGCUAGUGGCGGGGUAACGGCCCACCAAGGCUACGACGGGUAGCUGGUCUGAGAGGACGAUCAGCCACACUGGAACUGAGACACGGUCCAGACUCCUACGGGAGGCAGCAGU
rnacentral:rRNA from 1 species